rnacentral:rRNA from 1 species
CAGCGCCACAAGUGGUGGCCGUAUAUUUGGCCUAAAGCGUCCGUAGCUGGUUAGUUAAAUCUCUUGUGAAAUCGUUGGGCUCAACCCAACGGCGUGCAGGAGACACUGACUAACUUGAGACUGGGAGGAGUCAGAGGUAUUCUUUGGGGAGCGGUAAAAUGCUAUAAUCCUUAGAAGACCACCGAUGGCGAAGGCAUCUGACCAGAACAGAUCUGACAGUGAGGGACGAAAGCCAGGGGAGCGAUCCGGAUUAGAUACCCGAGUAGUCC